rnacentral:lncRNA from 1 species
AGACAUUAAUCUUAAGUAUCCAGGGAGCCCUAAAACAUUGUAUCCCACUAGCAAGGACCAUGGUAAUUGCCACGUAAAUCCCCUCCAUUAUGUGGCCCUUAUUAUGACCAGCCAGCCAAGGCUUGCCUUUAAAUCAUACCAAUUGAACCGAGCCUUGUAGAAACACUAUCACCUACGCAUACCUCUGCUUCUUUUCAUUAACCUGCUAUCCUCUUUACAAAUGGGAUUCUUCACCCACUCCCUUCUUCUAGAUUAGCAAUGCCCUGUUAAGUAAACGAACACGAAAUUCAAAGGGAAACAGGAGCAAUCAUCAUUACCAGCUGCCGUGUUAAGCAUUGCGAAAACGCUCACGAUUCACAGAAAAAUCCAUGCUGUUCUUUGAAGGCAUUCAAGCCUUAAUAGCUAGCUGGAUGAAUGUUUAACUUCUAGGCCAGGCACUACUCUGUCCCAACAAUAAGCCCUGUACAUUGGGAAAGGUGCCGAGACAUGAACUUUGGUCUUCUCUGCAAUCCAUCUGGAGCAUUCACUGACAACAUCGACUUUGAAGUUGCACUGACCUGGCCAGCCCUGCCACUUACCAGGUUGGCUCUGUAUGGCUAAGCGUUUUCUCCUAAAAUCCCUUGAAAACUGUGAGAAGACCAUAAGAAGAUCAUAUCUUUAAUUCUAUUUCACAAGUCACACAAUAUUCCAAUCAAAUACAGAUGGUUGAGAAAAGUCAUCCAUCUUCCCUCCCCACCCUCCCACAGCCCCUCAACCACUGCCCUGAAACUUAUAUGCUGUUAUCCGCAGCUCCAUCUGGAGCAUCACAGCUACUGUCAACCCUGACGCUCUUUCUGAAAAAACACCGGAUGGACAUCAGAACUAUUUCUUUAAGGAUGUUACUGAGCCACACAGGAAAACUUGCCUUAUGAUUUUGAAUGCACGGAUCUGAUUUGACUAAACAUGAUAACUAGAGAAUCACCCAAUCUACUCCCAUUUUCAACUCUAAAUCAUCAGAGUGUCUCAAAUCCAAAGCACACACAGACCAGCCUGGCCAACACGGUGAAACUCCACCCCUACUAAAAGUAUAAAAAUUAUCCAGGUGUGGUGGCGGGCGCCUGUAAUCCAAGCUACUUGGGAGUCUGGAGGCAGGAGAAUCCCUUGAACCUGGGAGAUGGAGGUUGCAGUGAGCAGAGAUCACACCACCGCACUCUAGCCUGGGCCACAAAUCAACAACAACAACAACAACAAAAAACAAAGCGCACACAGAGACUGAGGUCCUCUUUGGCAUUGAGAAGAUGGCUAUGCAAGUCCCAACUAGCAAGUGCAAACUUCCCAGCUUCACUUCUGCCAGUGUCCCUUCACCCCUUCUCAACCCCACUGGGAGGCAGGAGGGUGCUUGACAAUAACAGCCUUGGCAUCACUCUGCCAGGGUGUAAUAGGAACUGUUACAAUUCUGAGAUUCUGUAAGUGCUUUGAGAUUUUGGAGUCAGACUGCUUGAACUUGAAUCCUGGCCCUCUCAUCAGAGACUUGACUUAUUUUAGGCAAGUUAUAUAACCAAUUUUACCUCAGUUCCUUACCCAUAAAAUGGGUCUAAUGAGAGUACCUACCACACAGAAUUUUGAUGAAAACUGAAUGAGAUGAAGGCCUUUAAGGCAGUGGUCCCCAACCCUGGGGACACAGACAGGUACCAUUUUGUGGCCUGUUAGGAACUGGGCCACACAGCAGGAGGUGAGCAGUGGGUGAGUGAGAUCAGCGUUAUUUACAGCUGCUCCCCAUUGCUCACCUUACUGCCUGAGCUCCACCUCCUGUCAGAUCAGCAGUGGCAUUAAAUUCUCAUAGCAGCACAAACCCUGUCAUGAACUGCACAUGCGAGGGAUCUAGGUUGUGCGCUCCUUAUGAGAAUCUAAUGCCUAAUGACCUGUCACCGUCUCCCAUCACCCCUAGAUGGGAGUGUCUAGUUGCAGGAAACAAGCUCAGGGCUUCCACUGAUUCUACAUUAUGGCACUCAGGAAAUAUUAGUUGCAUGAACGAAGGCUGCAUUUUCAUUAGAACAACAUGCAGUUCAACCCCUUCAUGUUUCAAUGAGGGUUCAGAUACCCAGAGGGCUAUGCUAUCAUCCUGGAGCCCACUCUGCUAACAAUUAGCAGAACGGAAGCCUUAAUUUCCAGAUUCUAGUGAACUUGAUGAGUCAAGACUAUUGCAAUUGGAAAUCUGUUCUCCUCUGCUGCUGCAUUCCCUGCUUAAUACUCAAGCCAGAAACCAGGAAGGCUGUGGCUUGCCUUUUCACUUCUUGUGUCCUGUUUAAGAAAUAUCUGCUAUCCCAAGCAUCUGGCAUCUUUCUUGACAUAUGUAGCAGUUGCUUUUUGACAGCUUGCUUCUUCAGUGAAUGAAUAAAUUAAUAAAGAGAAAUGUGAUGUUCAGUGAUCCAUUUUGCAGGAUAAACCAGUAUUCUGGACUAAGCCAACGUGGGAGACCCUAGGAGGCCUGUUUGAGAAAGUGACAUUUAAAUUGAGACUUGGCGGUGGCUGUGGCUACAUAUCUAAUUGCAAACUCCUAGAGAAGGGCUCAACAGUGAGUGCUGAGGCUGCACAGAGGAGGAAGGCAGCACAAUGAUGGAAGGCUUCCUAAAGAGAUAACACUAACAAAGUUGACCUUAGAAUUGGAGUGCCUGGGUUAGAACCCUGCUGGUACCACCUGCUUACUGCAUGCUUCUGAUGUGAGUUCAGGAGAAGACACUGGCAAGGACAGCAAAGAACAGGAGAACACUCUAGCUUCCCUGAUAGCAUUCAAGGUGCUGUCCAAACUGACUGUGAUGGCACCCUCCAGACAGACAGCGAUGCCACAUGUUCAAGAUGGCAGAAUCACUAUCAGCUUCAAUUCCUGAAUGACUGCAGAGCAAAAUUUCUUACCUGCAACAUACACUCUAUUUUCAGCCUCCCUGGACUGUUACAUAAUGAUACAUAAAAAUAUUUCUUGUGUUGAGGCAUCCCAAAUUUGAUUUAUUUGUCAUCACAGUCUAUCCUAUGAAUAUAUUUCUGAUCCAAAUAAUGCUAGAUUCAUGAGAGUUUAUAGUCCAGAGAUUUUUUUUUUUUUUUUGAGACAGAAUCUGUCUCCCAGGCUGGGGUGCAGUGGCAUAAUCUUAGCUCACUGCAACCUCUGCCUCCCGGGCUCAAGUGAUCCUCCCUCCUUAGCCUCCAUGAGUAGCUGGGACCACAGGUGUGCACCACCACACCCCGCUAAUUAUUUUGUAUUUUUUGCAGAGGGGGGUUUCACCACAUUGCCCAAGCUGGUCUCAAACUCCUAGACUUAAGGGAUCUGCCUGCCUUGGCCUCCCAAAAUGCUGAAAUUACACUUGUUAGCCAUAGUAAUAGUUCCUAGCCAUAGUCCGGAGAUAUUUUAAAAACUUUAGUGUGAGUUAUUUCUCUUUGCUAUAAUUCUCUCAUGCAUUUUGAAAACCUUUUCUGCCAUACAGUGGUUUUUGGGAAGUCCUUUUGGACAGACAUAUCACAGGAUGGAGAAACUAAAAAGAGAGAAUGCAUUAAAGAAAAAAUAGUACUUCGUAUUUCAGAAAUUACAAAAGGGUGUCAUGCCCCACAGCAUGGUGGGCAGUCAUUUGUAACCCACAGAACAUUGAGUUUCUAAAAUUUGAGUGUUUUUAACUUACGAAGGCCAACUUUACUGAUGAAGUGAUUACCCCAAAUAUGUGAAAUCCAUAUUUCAAGUACAAUAGUAGGAAAUUGGAAAUGGGCUCUUGAGUUUCUGCUUUCAAGUGACCCUCAGAAAUUCCUCCAUUCACUGCAGAGGUUCUGUUUCUCCUUGCUUUGUUCUGACUUUACGGCAGAACUAAGCUAAUGAGUUAGUUACUAUGGGUUAUCACUUGGAUUUGAAGAACCAUCAUUUCUAGGCAUUGCUGCUCAGAGUGGGUCUGCCCUCAGGGGAAGCUGUCUAACCAGAGCCUAACCCACUAGGGUUUUAUCAGAACCUAACUGACCUGAGGAAAAGAAAUACUCAACUCCAGCAAGCUCCAGCCUUCCAAAUGGAGGAGGAGAAAACCCAACUCCAGCCCACUUCAGCUAUCUUGUCCCACAUAAAGGGGAAGUGGAAGAAACCUGAGAAGCAGGCAUGAAGUUCACAGUCCAGAGACCUUGCCAUCGUAUCCCCUUUUGGAGACACAAGCCAGGAAGGAAGCUCUUCAGUGCAGCUGUGAAUAGAGAAAUGCUGGCUGAGGUUUUGGAGACACUGGGUGAUCAUUCCCAGUGAAAUUUUUAGAUCCCUGGGGACAUGAGCUGCUUUGUCUUUUCCAAGGACAGCAGACAGAGCAUGAAUGAGACCCCCAAAGAAGGGAAGCAAAUGAGACAAGCCCCACAAUUAUUCUGGCUUUUUGCCUAGAGACAAUCUAUGAACUGUGGGGCAAACAACAGAGAUCAAAACAGCUUGGCAAUCUGAGUUGAGGAUGAAGACACCAUUGGGGCAGAAGCAGCGAUAGCUCAAAUUUGUGGAGCAAAGUACCGGAGAAGAUAAACUGCUCCAAAUUCCAAGAGGCUGGGCAAAGAAAAACUUUGUGGAAAGAAGAAUUAUCAGGGAACUCUAAGCUGAAAAAUUGCCAGGGCUCACACAGACCUGGGGAAUUGGUUGAGUUUAUGCCACCUACAGGAUAGAGAACUUGCUGAAUGUUCAAGGAUUUUGUUACAGAUGCAAGAUGACACUUAAAGGGAUGCAAAACUAACAUCUCUGGAUUAGUCUUAAUAAAGUUUAAAAAUAAGCUUAGAAAAAGUCAAA